GUGCUCGCUUCGGCAGCACAGAUACUAAAAUUGGAAUGAUGCAAAGAAGAUUAGCAUGAUCCCUGCACAAGGAUGACACGCAAAUUUGUGAAGCAUUCCAUAUUUUU
rnacentral:snRNA from 1 species